GACGAACGCUGGCGGCGUGCCUAAUACAUGCAAGUUGAGCGCUGAAGGUUGGUACUUGUACCCACUGGAUGAGCAGCGAACGGGUGAGUAACGCGUGGGGAAUCUGCCUUUGAGCGGGGGACAACAUUUGGAAACGAAUGCUAAUACCGCAUAAAAACUUUAAACACAAGUUUUAAGUUUGAAAGAUGCAAUUGCAUCACUCAAAGAUGAUCCCGCGUUGUAUUAGCUAGUUGGUGAGGUAAAGGCUCACCAAGGCGAUGAUACAUAGCCGACCUGAGAGGGUGAUCGGCCAAAUUGGGACUGAGACACGGCCCAAACUCCUACGGGAGGCAGCAGUAGGGAAUCUUCGGCAAUGGACGAAAGGCUGACCGAGCAACGCCGCGGGAGGGAAGAAGGGUGUCGGAUCGUAAAACUCCGUUGGUAGAGAAGAACGUUGGUGAGAGUGGAAAGCUCAUCAAGUGACGGUAACUACCCAGAAAGGGACGGCUAACUACGUG
rnacentral:rRNA from 1 species